UUCCCUUUAGGGGCAUCUAAUUAAAUUGGAACGAUACAUAGAAGAUUAGCAUGACCCUUGGGCAAGGAUGAUACACACAAAACGAUAGUCCAAAAAAAUACAU